rnacentral:rRNA from 1 species
GACGAACGCUGGCGGCGUGCUUAACACAUGCAAGUCGAACGGAAAGGCCCUGCUUUUGUGGGGUGCUCGAGUGGCGAACGGGGGAGUAACACGUGAGUAACCUGCCCUUGACUUUGGGAUAACUUCUGGAAACUGGGGCUAAUACCGGAUAGGAGCUCCUGCUGCACGGUGGGGGUUGGAAAGUUUCGGCGGUUGGGGAUGGUCUCGCGGGUUAUCAGCUUGUUUGGGAGGUAGUGGCUUACCAAGGCUUUGACGGGUAGGCGGCCUGGGAGGGUGGCCGGCCACAUUGGGACUACGAGACGGCCCAGACUCCUACAGGAGGCAGCAGUGGGGAAUAUUGCACAAUGGGCGGAAGCCUGAUGCAGCAACGCCGCGUGCGGGAUGACGGCCUUCGGGUUGUAAACCGCUUUCGCCUGUGACGAAGCGUGAGUGACGGUAAUGGGUAAAGAAGCACCGGCUAACUACGUG